rnacentral:piRNA from 1 species
AAGCCAAACUGAAUUGCCUGACGAGA